GUGUCCUCACGGAGACACCGCGUAAGAAAUACACGCCAAUUAUCUAUAUGUGAGUCCAGAAGGUUGAAAAAGACCUUCAAAAUGUUUCAUUAAGUGUCCAUGUUUCUGCACCAAUAAGCAAAGGCUCCACAGUGGUACCUCUCAAGAGUUUUCAUGCAUCUUAUCCUCCUUGUCAUCAUUAUAAAUAUCCACACUCCAUUAUCAUGAAACUGCAACCUCAUCUAUAAAAAUUCACGAUGGUUUCUCAGAAGUGUUAGCACCAAUAAGAAGAUCACUAACACAGAUGAUCAACGACGAUCCACUGAAUGCAUCAGCACAAGUGCCAGAUGACGUUUUGGAAGGACACUUUGUGGUUGUUGCUAAAAAGGGUGAAGAAACCAAACGGUUUGUUAUGGAGUUGCACUAUUUGUGUAACCCUGCAUUUUUGGGACUGUUGGAGAGAGCAAGAGAAGAGUAUGGUUUCAGGCAAAAGGGGGUUUUGGAAAUUCCCUGCCACCCUCAAGAAUUAGAGAAGAUUCUAGAAGAAAGACGAGAUCAAAGUGUGGGAGAUGGAAGCAAAUUAACAGAUUCAAUUCAAAUGAGUUGAAUGUAGCAUUGUAUCUCCUGCAGUUGAACAAAUCUGUACAAUUUGCUUAAAUGAUUACUAAUAAUUCAGUAGUGUAAAAUUUCUAAUAGCUCAUUAUAGCAUAACUUCACUGCACCAAUCAAUUGAGAGUCAAACUUCUCUUUGAUUUAGCUUGGUGCAACCACUAUACAACCUUUUUCUUUUUCUAUGAUUAUCUCCAUCCUCAUCCUCAUCAUGUAUGUUUGUUCAAAAUUCUCUUUUUAAUUUCUUCC